AAGGGUAUAUCUCAGUGGUACAGUGCAUGCUUAACAUGCAUGAGGUCUCAGGUUCAAUCCCCAGUGCCAUUA
rnacentral:tRNA from 1 species